UUUGAAGAACUCUAGGAAUAAAACAAACUACCAAUUUUAUAGCUUUUCUUAAAAAUGUUAUUAAUUGCAAUAUCAAUCAGAUUUAUAUUUGCUUAUAAAAGUUAUUACGAUCAGUUUUGCUUCACAUGUACAAAGUUAAAGCACAUUAUUUGCAACUAUGAUGAAACGUUUUCUUCUUUGCUUGGUGGUUGUGGCUUUGGUAAUGCCAGUUUUAAACCAACCAACAGACGGUGUUAAAACCUCUUCAACUUUGCACAGUGGUGAGAAAACCGGUGGAGAAACGAUGGACACUGCAGAAUCUGCUGUUUUCCUACCCCGAUUUACUUACAGAAGAACGCAAAGUCAAAGAUACAGAUUCUAAAGUCUAAAAACUAUUUUCCCGAUGUCUUAAUGUUGUAAUAAAUAAACUAUUUGGAAUUUUUUUCAACCAGACUGCUGUUGUUUUUGUUAAAUAACACGACCAUGACCUGUUGUUACAGUUAUUAACAAUUUCAGUUAAAAUAACGACUCCAAGCAAAGUUUAACCACCUUUCUGUGAUAAUUGAAACUGUAUAAUGUCGCUCUUCUGCAAACAAACUAGUUCUUUGUCACCCUUCUAUCUCUGGACUAUUUAAAGAAGAUGUUGAGGUACAAAAUAAUUAAAGGUACUUCGGUCACAAUAAGAUGAAGUCAGUCUUUUUUUAUUUAAGUCUGAUUUGUAUAAUUAGUGGCAUAGAAUGCAAAACAGUGAUAAGCGAGAAUAAAGCACUAUCGGAAUCGUUAUCACAGGUUAUGGAUCAAAGUGAGAAUGACAAUGAUGAAAUUUUGGUCACUGCAGAACAAGUGUUUUUGCCAAAAUUUGCCUCGAGACGAAAUAUUGCGUCCAGAAGAAAGGGACAAGUCCAGAGAAGGCAAUACAAUAGGAGAAAAGCGACCACAAGAAAGCCAAGUUACAAUAAUUACUGGGAGAAUUAUUAUUGGAGACCUUGGGGCUACUCAGGAUUUUAUUAAUCUAGUGAUUUAUUUAUUUUUAAUGUAAUUGUAGCUGUUUUUUUCUAUUUUUUCAUUAUAUAAUUAAGCCAGGACGAUUAUUUUUAUUAUUUUUUUUUGUGAAAAUUUUCAACUUUGAAGCAAACUGAGUCAUAAAAUUCUAUCAGUUGCAGACAGCUUUUAUCAUCUGAUACCAGGCCUUAGCACAUUUUUAUAAUUGUGUCAGAUGACUUCGUGCUGAGUUAAAAGGCUAUCAGAGUUUUAAAUAACAAUUUUUAUUUUCAAUCAUAACAUAUUACAUAUAAAUAGGCAAGAGAAUUAAUUAACUUUGAAUCAACACUAGAAGAAAACCAUAGGGGGCCUGAAAGGCUUCCUCCUUCUGGUAACGUCUCUCUUGUUGUUUCUUGUUCGAGGUGUUGAAGCCACAUUUGGAUUGGUGUAGGUGAUAAAUCCGUUUCCAAAAUUUGGACCGUUUGGCACAAAUCUGUUGUCCACUUGCCUUCUGUCCCUUCUUUGUCCCCGAUUUCUUAGGAAAUAUUUGAGAAAAUCGAACGCAAUCGGAUUAUUUCUGUACUCGUAUUUGAGGUGAUUGUAGCGUCUGAGAAAAUUUGGAUCAAUUGAGCGUUCCUGUCGUUCGUUAAACGAAUUUUCGGGUGAAGACAGUGUUAACGGUAAUGCGAGUAAAAGUGUGGUCAAAAAUAGUAAACAAGUCUGAAACAGAAAUUGGUGAAAACUCAGCUUACAGUUUUUAUACUUAAUUUACCAUUUUGACAGCGACAAUACAACUUACUGGCUUUAGGAAACCGAAUAAAAUCUUUAUAUACCUUUGGAUGGAGAUGUGUAAAUAAAAAACGUUGAUUUGCAAAAGUCGGUUAGCUAAUUAAUACUAAUGUUCUCGAAUGAACUGGCUAUUCUUGUCCUGAGUUGACAGAAAGUAUUAUUCUUCCAAGUUUAGUACUUUCAAGUUCAAGUUAAUGAAUUGGUGCUAAUCUUAAAGAUCAAUAUAAUGACAAUCAUUUUAUAUUUAAAAAUGAAAAUAAGUCGGCAGUGUUUGCUAUUACCUAUUAGUGAUUAGUUUUGUUUUCCAAUAUAUUUUUAUUCAUUACUUUUAACUAGGUUCUUCAAAUUAUUGUUUGUCUUAAAAAGCAUAAUGGAAUUUUUUAUUUGGCAUAAUUUUAAUUAUAUAUAGUAUGUAAAAUAAUUAUUUUCGUGGUACAAGAAGUGGGAAUGUUAAUCUAAUAACUGUGUUUGAAGGUGUUACAAAAAUAACUAAUAUGUGCAGAGUGCGUAUGUUCUUUUACACCAAUUCUUUUAAAAAUCGUCCAGUAAAAAUAUUGCAACAAGAAGGUGUGUUGGGUUGUAGGUGUUGUUUUAGCAGCACCACAAAUUAAAACUGAAAGCCGAUUUGGUUCUUUUGGGAAUGGAGGUUUUGGGGGCGGCCAGUUUGGAGGCGGUCAGUUUGGAGGCGGCCAAUUUGGGGGCGGACAAUAUGGAGGCAGUCAGGUUGAAAGUGGGCACUUUACAAGUGAACAUUUCACAAGUGGACAGGUUGGAAGCAGCCAAUUUGGAGGCGGUCAGUUUGGAGGUGGACAAUUUGGAGGUGGACAGUUUGGAAGUGGGUCAUUUGGGGGUGUUGAUUAUUAUUAAAAAUAAGAAUUAUACACAUAAUCACAAUAAACAAUGACUAAAUCAUUUUUUGUUCAGUAUGAUUUUGUAAAGCUUUCAAAAUGUUUUAGUUAAACGUAAAACUUAAGGUUAUUAGUCGGAAGAUAUUGUCAAAAACAUGGUUUAUCGCACUGUGGUCACACAAAACUAUAAAUAAAGCCAGACUUCACAUUUUCCACAUAAACAAUUAACAGGUUAUCACAAUUAUAUCCUUCUGAGCUCACAAGAGAUAAACUCGUUCUUACGAUAGUAAAAAAUAUAAAAGCUACCAACUUUCCACAAUUCCACUAGUUAUUGUCUGUUUGAACGCAAUGAAAACUUUUGUCAUUUGUGUUAUUUUAUUGAUUGCUGUGUCUGCAGCUCCUCGUCCUGACCAUCACACUGGUCAUGGUGUAGGUGGAUCUGCUGGUCAACAUGGUACUCAUGGUAGUACCGGAAGCCACCAAGGUGGUCUGAUCGGAGGAGGCACCCAUGAUUAUGGCACACAUGGCACACACCAAGGGGGUCAUCAAGGGGGUCACCAAGGAGGUCUGAUUGGCGGUGGAACUCAUGAUUACGGAACGCACGGUGGUCAUCAUUAAAUGUAAAUUUGUAUGUUGUUUGGUAAAUAAAACGAGCUAAAUUGUUGUUUGA